rnacentral:rRNA from 1 species
UGGGGAAUAUUGGACAAUGGGCGCAAGCCUGAUCCAGCCAUGCCGCGUGAGUGAUGAAGGCCCUAGGGUUGUAAAGCUCUUUCACCGGUGAAGAUAAUGACGGUAACCGGAGAAGAAGCCCCGGCUAACUUCGUGCCAGCAGCCGCGGUAAUACGAAGGGGGCUAGCGUUGUCCGGAAUCACUGGGCGUAAAGGGUUCGCAGGCGGAAAUGCAAGUCAGGUGUAAAAGGCAGUAGCUUAACUACUGUAAGCAUUUGAAACUGCAUAUCUUGAGAAGAGUAGAGGUAAGUGGAAUUUUUAGUGUAGCGGUGAAAUGCGUAGAUAUUAAAAAGAAUACCGGUGGCGAAGGCGACUUACUGGGCUCAUUCUGACGCUGAGGAACGAAAGCGUGGGUAGCAAACAGG